rnacentral:tRNA from 1 species
GCCUGGAUGGCGGAAUUGGCAGACGCGCUACAUUCAGGGUGUAGUGUCCGCAAGGGCGUGCAGGUUCGACUCCUGUUCCAGGCACCA